rnacentral:lncRNA from 1 species
CCUAUGAGUCUGGGGACCCAGAGAGUGGGGCCUGCUCCACCUGAACCAGGUGUAGACACCCACCUGGGAGGAAGACAAUUUUGCCAGCGUGUCUUACAGCCUGAGACACUGUGGGGCAGGGACCCAGGAUUGAGACCAGACAGAAGUCUGCCCACUGCAGGCAGGCAGGGCCAGUGUGCUGCCUGA